rnacentral:lncRNA from 1 species
GUGGAACCGUCGACUCUCGCCCUCCAACUCUCGAAGCCUCUUCCUCAAAACUUCAGACUCCGCCUCGGCAUCCUUGACCGACUGCUGCUCGUAGGCCAGUUGAAUCUUCAGCCACUGCAGUUCGGCCUUCUCCUACCCAAGGUCCACAGACAGUUCUUCCAUGGUCCCCCUCAAAGAGCGGAGCUCGUCGGAGCCUUGUGCAGAGGCAGACUGGACUC